GACUACUGAUGUUAGGAGAUGAAAGGUACUCACCAUGCUUGGUGGAUUCCACCUCAAAUCCAGUAUCCACAGGCUAUACACUAAGCACUAAGGAGGCAGAGGGCUAGUGAGCACCAGAGCCACCAUUGAAGAUGGAACAUCCAACUGAGGGAACCUUUGUGGGAGGAAAAAACCCUGCAUGGGAUGUACCACUCACAGAUAGCUAAAGUGGCUGAUAUGACCAAAUCCUAGCAAUGGCUAGAGAGGGCUGGACUGAGGGACAGCAUUGAAGCACUGAUCAUGGCAGCACAGGAGCAGGCCUUGAGCACCAGGGCAACAGAGGCCCAUAUCUACCAUACCAGGCAAGAUGCCAGGUGCAGGCUAUGCAAAGAGGCCACAGAAACCAUCCAGCAUCUCAAAGCAGGGUGUAAGAUAUUCACAGGGAAGGAAUACAUGAAUGCCAUAACCAAGUGGUAUAGUGUACAGAAACAUCUGUUCAGAAUACGAACUGGAGACCCUCCUGGUCAAAAUGGGAGUCACCUCCCAAGGUGGUGGAGAAUGAGAGAGCUAAGAUUUUGUGGGACUCCCAGAUACAAACAGACAAUGGUAAUGGCCAGCCAACCGGAUAUUGUGAUCACUAAUAAGCAGCAGAGGACCGCCGUUGUGAUCAAUGUGGCCAUCCCCAGUUAUGGAAACAUUAGGAUAAAAGAGCACGAGAAACUGGAGAAAUACCAAGGGUCAGGAAAAACUAGAAAGAGCAUGGAAUGUGAAGACAAUAGUAGUGCCCGUGGUCAUUGGAGCACUCAGGGCAGUAAUCCCCACUCUAGACAAGUGUCUCCAACAGAUACCUGGAGAAACAUCGGACAUCUCAGUCCAUAAGAGUGCACUCUUAGGAACAUCUAAGAUCCUAAUAAGAAUCCUCAAGCUUCUAGGCCUCUUGUAGAGGACCCAAGCGAAAUGGGGAGCCACCCUCCCUGCUCAGGACCAUGAAGGGAAGUGGUGAGGAUGGGAGGAAGGUUUGCUCUUCUCACCCGGUGCAUAAAGUGCAUAUGCUGUCUUCUCUUCACAAGAGCAGAGGUGUGGAGGGCAAAGUGUCUGAUUUGCACCACCCAGGAAUGUGAUGCUGCUGACUCAGUCCACUUUGGGAACUCUUCGGGUCCUGUUCCUGUAUCCUCAGGUCCGGGGACUCCUCGGGUCCUGUUUCUUGUCUCUGAGGGUCCAGUGGAUGUUUGUUCUGCCAGGUCUCCAGAGCGCCGCUGUGUGUUACAGCAGACUGGCCACCGCCAACUCAAGAUCCACAGUAGGUUACAGGAAUUCAGUCUCCAAAUACCUACAUCCUGUCUCCAGAGCUCACCCCGGAUUCCAGCCGGCAGCAUCAAGGUCCAAUUUGAUUUCAGGAUCAAAGUUGCAGUCUGCAACAUUGUGGGUCCAGUCUGCAGCUUCAAGGUGUCAGGGUGCUGUCUGUUUGCUCUGGUUCUGGGUAUUUUCCCACAGUUGGUGUUGGUGUCUGUGGGGGCGUGCCCCACACCUGCGGCUCGUCAGGAGCAGAUUCUGCUGGCUUCUUAAGCAGUGCAGAGACAGACGGAAGAUGCCAGAGCCUUAAACCAGUUGUGUUUUGUGUGCUUGGAUGCACUUACCUGGCCUGGAGUUUUGAUGAGAAGUUGUUCAGUGGAAGUCCUGUGCUCAGAUGUUGCUCUGGCGUUCCCCUUCAAACUUCCUAGGACAUACCUAGUUGGGGUGAGGUCCCCCCUCCCGGAUUCCACUGGCACCCUCAGCUUUCUGUACUCUGUUCGUCUGUCCCUCCUACCUGUGGAGGUUGCUUUGGGUCUCUCGCCAGUUUCCACUAGCCGCCCUCCAGUCACCACCCACAUAUCAGAGUAGACACUAGUUCCCUCAGUGCUUACUCUAUCCUGCUUGUGUUUCUCCGACUAAGGGUAAGCUGCGCACAAUCUGGCAUCUUUCUGGUUUCGAUCCAUGACUCAUUAUCUCUCUUCCCUUGGAGUUAAUCUCGCCCAGACGUUCAGGCCUCGAUCCAGGCGUCUAGCAGUUCCGAUAUGUUUUUGCACCGUGCUCCUUUAAUAAACAUCUUAAACUGUGUAUUGAUCUCCCGGACGUUUUCUGCAUGUGGGCAAAA